GUGCUCAUUUCAGCAGCACAUUUACUAUAAUUGGAAUGAUACAGAAAAGAUUAGCAUGGCCCCUGUGUAAGGAUGGCAUGAAAAUUUGUGUAGCAUUCCAUAUAUUU
rnacentral:snRNA from 1 species